UUCAGUUAUAGUGAAUAAAUCCAACAUUUCUUUCAUGCAUCCCUGUGUACAUGCCUCACCUAUCCCCUUUCAACCACAUCUGCCAAGAAAACAGAUCUCCUUAACCAAAGUUUAGCUGGGCAUGGUGGCACAUGCUUGUAGCCCUAACUAUUGGUAUACUGAGGCAGAGAGUGAUGAGUUUGAGGUCAGCCUGAGCUAUAGAGCAAGACCUUGUUACCCCUCCCUCUACAAAAACCAAAACAAGAAUAUUUGACUCAGACAGUUUUUCUCCUAUCUCAUUCUCUCAAGUAAUUUUGUAUCUUAGACCUGAUACAGCAUCAUGACAUCAUUCCAAGGGUACAGUGACGUGACUAGAACCCAAUAUUCUCAGGGCAGGACUGUGGUUUUAUGCAAAAAGUUAAUGCUUUUGAUGAUAACUUGAUUAUCAACUGUCUCCUCAAUGCUACUUGGGGGAAGAACUCGAUCUGGCAUUUGUCACCUCUGACAGAGGCUUGCAGCAAAAGAGGAAAAGUAAUACCUGAGUCCCUAGAACUCUUUGUCUCCCAACUGCAGGCUAGCCGUACUACUAGACUGUAACCCGUUCGAACCUGUAAGUUGACAAUUUACCGGAGUUUAAUUCAUGGAUGCUUAGAUAUAGGUUGGAGGAAGAAGAGAUACAACAGAAAGAAAGCAGCAGUUCAAGACCACAUGUGCCAAAAGACCUUGUGACAGAAUUGAAAGGCUCUGGAGAGUUUAUGGGAGGCGGGGCUCUGUGGAUAUGAACUGUAAUUACUAGAACAUAAACAGCUCUGUGGGGUUAGGGGACUUGUUGGAGACCUUGCUCGAUGGGUACUGUUUGAUUAGACCAAAAAGAUCUCGAAAGGAUGGCAAGCCUGAGAAAUUCCAUGAAUGAGGCUGGAAUGUUCCCUCAGGGGACCAUGAGGAGACCACUGGGCUUGAAGCCCAGCUUGAGUUGGGAAAUCAUGGGAACGAGGCUGAGUAGGUAGGGUGGGGUCAGACUGCUAAGGACCUUCAGAAACCAAGUUAGAUGAGUCGAGACUCUAGGGCUCUGGCGAGUCGGAGUCCACGGCCACAGAUCUCAAUGUGUGUGUCCUGAAGAAGCUGGCACCAGCUCAGAGGCUAAGGGAGGAGUUAGGUGGAGGCAGGACCAAGGCUGGAAAAAGGAACACAGUUUUUAGCUCUUUCUCAGGUUUUCACACCCCAUCCCUACAGGAUCAUAACCUAGAUCAUUGGCAAGGGGCGUUGAUGGUGGGACAAGAGAUAACCAACACGCACUUUGUAGCUCGCCUGCUGACUGGUCCACCCCACUGCUUACCCUGACAGCUUAGGUGAAAUCCUAGUAGGUCUAGAUGGUGUUUGAAAGUGAAAAUGCAGGCUGAGUGCAGCGGGGCAUGCCUGUGUGUCUAGCUAUGCAGGAGGCUGAGAAGGGAGGUUUGUUUGCGCCUUGCUUCGGGAGACUGAGGCCAACAUGGGCAACAACACUAGAUGCUCUCUCAAAAGAACAAAG
rnacentral:lncRNA from 1 species